UAAUACGAAGGGGGCAAGCGUUGUUCGGAAUUAUUGGGCGUAAAGCGCGCGUAGGCGGGUUCGUAAGUCGAUUGUGAAAACCCUGGGCUCAACCCGGGACGUGCAGUCGAUACUGCGAAUCUUGAGUGCCUGAGAGGAUGGCGGAAUUCCCGGUGUAGUAGUGAAAUACGUAGAUAUCGGGAAGAACACCUGAGGCGAAGGCGGCUAUCUGGCGGUGCACUGACGCUGAUGCGCGAAAGCGUGGGGAGCAAACAGGAUUAGAUACCCUGGUAGUCCACGCCGUAAACUAUGGAUACUAGGUGUCCGGAUGUUAACCUUCUGGGUACCGUAGCUCACGCAUUAAGUAUCCCGCCUGGGGAGUACGGUCGCAAGACUA
rnacentral:rRNA from 1 species